rnacentral:rRNA from 1 species
CCUACGGGGGGCUGCAGUGGGGGAUAUUGCACAAUGGACGAAAGUCUGAUGGAGCAACGCCGCGUGAGCGAAGAAGGUCUUCGGAUCGUAAAGCUCUGUUGUUAGGGAAGAACAAGUACGGGAGGAAAUGACCGUACCUUGACGGUACCUGACGAGGAAGCCACGGCUAACUACGUGCCAGCAGCCGCGGUAAUACGUAGGUGGCAAGGGUUGUCCGGAAUUAUUGGGCGUAAAGGGCGCGCAGGCGGUCGUUUAAGUCGGAUGUGAAAUCGUGCGGCUCAACCGCAAGCGGGCAUUGGAAACUGGGAGACUAGAGGGCAGAAGAGGAAAGCGGAAUUCCACGUGUAGCGGUGAAAUGCGUAGAGAUGUGGAGGAACACCAGUGGCGAAGGCGGCUUUCUGGUCUGUAACUGACGCUGAGGCGCGAAAGCGUGGGGAGCAAACAGGAUUAGAUACCCGGGUAGUC